UACAGAGGGGGCAAGCGUUGUUCGGAAUUACUGGGCGUAAAGGGCGCGUAGGCGGCCCGCUAAGUCGAACGUGAAAUCCCCGGGCUCAACCCGGGAACUGCGUCCGAUACUGGUGGGCUUGAAUCCGGGAGAGGGAUGCGGAAUUCCAGGUGUAGCGGUGAAAUGCGUAGAUAUCUGGAGGAACACCGGUGGCGAAGGCGGCAUCCUGGACCACAACUGACGCUGAGGCGCGAAAGCGUGGGGAGCAAACAGG
rnacentral:rRNA from 1 species